rnacentral:sRNA from 1 species
GCUGGGUGCAGUGGCGCACACCUGUAAUCCCAGUGGCUCAGGAGGCUGAGGCAGGAAGACUGCAAGUUCAAAUCCAGCCUCAG